ACAUGGCAGAUUCCUAAUUUUAUAGGUUCUUGUAUAUGCUAACUUUAGUUAACUUCAGCACUUGGCCGCAUGGUGCAGCACCUGUACUGCGAAAUAACUAGAAUUACGGGCGUGAAUGUUCUCAUUUCCUCUUUGUUUAUAUGGCUGUGAUCUUCAACCUGAAAUAGUGAGAUUUUAAAAUUGAGAGCCUAUAUGCAAAACUAAUACAAAAACAAUUAAAUGUCAGGACUCCAAAUACGCUAAACGAAAAAAUAUAUAGAGUACGUAUAAUGCAGAAGCUCUGCUCCAUGGAGGCACUUCCAAGAAAUAGUGGGGAUAACCACGACCAGUUAGUAAGGUGGUGAACUUCACAUAUUUAAAAGUUUAAGGACAUCAGUAUGGCAAGUCCUUCACCACAAUCGUCUCCUAUGCCUCCACCACAAACUCCAAGUCCUAUGGGUCCUCCUCAGCAGGCACCAUCACCUUCUAACCCACAAGGUAGUCCCAUGGGACCACCACAGCAUCAUCCUCAUAGUCCAACACAAGCAUAUCAAACUGGUCCGCCAAUGCCACCUGGAGGUCCACCUAUGUCUCAACCGAAUCAACAACCUCCACCGCAACAACAAAAUUAUCCAUCACACCCACAACAAAUGCAAUCCGCUAUGGGUCCACAGAAUCAGAGUGGACCUGGCAUGCCAGUUAGUCAAAAUUCUAAUUCUCAGCAGGCUCCCAGUGGACCUAUGGUACCAGGCCAAAUGGGACCAAGUGGAUCUCAAGGAACAUCUCACAUUAUGCAAUCUGGUCCAAACCAAAUGAAUGCAAAUGGACCAGGACAAAUGAGUGCUGGUGGCCCUGGUCAGAUGGGACCGGGAGGCCCUGGUCCAAUGGGCCCAGGAGGCCCUGGUCAAAUAGGCCCAGGAGGUCCUGGUCAAAUGGGUCCGGGAGGUCCUGGUCAAAUGGGACCAGGAGGCCCUGGUCAAAUGGGCCCAGGAGGUCCUGGUCCAAUGGGCCCAGGAGGCCCUGGUCAAAUGGGCCCAGGAGGCCCUGGUCAAAUGGGCCCAGGAGGUCCUGGUCAAAUGGGUCCAGGAGGUUCAGGACCGAUUGGAGCAAGCCAUUUAGGCCAAGCUGCUGGAGGGCCACCAGGAGGUCCACAUAUGAGUCAGGCUCCUCCUCAAAUGGGUCCUGGAAAUGGACCUGUGCCACAAAUGGGUUCUGGAGGACCUUCAAAUUCGCAAAUGGUACCUGGAGGACCAGGACAUAUGAGUGGCCCACCAGGAUCAAGCCACAUGAAUGCAGCUGGACCACCAGGACCAGGACAUAUCAACUCAAGUGGGCCACCAGGACCAGGCCAUAUGAAUGCAACUGGACCCCCUGGAACAGGCCAUAUGAAUGCGACUGGGCCACCAGGACCAGGUCAUAUGAGUUCAGGUGGUCCGCCUGGACCAGGACAUAUGAGCACUAAUGGACCUCCUGGACCAGGACAUAUUAAUACAAACGGUCCACCAGGUUCAACUCAUAUGAAUGCUAGUGGUCCGCCUGGAAGUCAUUUAAAUAGCGGACCAUCCAUACCAAGUCAUAUAAAUGCAAGUGGUCCACCAGGAUCUGGACAUAUGAAUGCUAGCGGACCUGGAAAUCAUUUAGGCCCUGGAGGGCCAGGUCAAAUGCCUCCAGGUGGUUCUACUGCACAUAACUUGGGGCCAGGAGGACCAAAUCAAAUGGGUCCUGGAGGUCCAAAUCAAAUGGUACCUAGUAGUCAAACCCCUAUGGGACCUAGUCCCAUGGGGCCUGUUGGACAAGGUGGACAAAUUGGGCCAAAUGCACCUGGCCAAAUGGGACAUAACGGACCCUCACCAAUGGGUCCAAAUGCUCCUGGACAGAUGGGUAUCGGAUCUGCCUCAUCACAACUGGGAAUGGGAGGGCCUGGAAGUCAAUUGGGUCCAGGAGGGCCAGGUAAUCAAAUGGGUCCGGGUAGUGGACCUGGGGGACAAUUAGGAAGUAGUCUUGGACAAAUGGGACCAGGAAGUGGACCUGGAGGACAGAUGCCACCAAGCAAUGGACCUGGAGGUUCUAUGGGCCCUGGAAGUGGUCCUGGUGGACAAAUGGUAUCAAGUAGUGGACCUGGAGGUCAAAUAGGGCCAGGAAGCAGUCCUGGAGGGCAAAUAGGACCAGGAAGUGGUAGUGGAAAUCAAAUAGGACCUGGAAAUGCUCCUGGAAACCCGAUGACACCAGGAAGCGGACCUAGUGGACAAAUGGGUCCAGGAAGUGGACCCAAUAGUCAAAUGGGACCAGGAAAUUUGUCUGGAGGACAAAUGGGCCCAGGAAAUAACUCAAAUAGUCAAAUGGGUCCUGGAAAUGGUCCAAGUGGACAGAUAGGACCAGGUGGUCAAAUGGGACCCAAUGGUCCUGGAGGGCAAAUGGUUCCAGGUGGUUCAGGAGUACAAAUACCACCAGGUGGUCCUGCAAAUCAAAUGGGACCUGGUGGCCCUGGUAAUCAAAUAGGACCAAAUGGACCAAACAAUCAGCUAAGCCACAGUGGUGCUAGCAAUCAAAUGGGACCAAGUGGGCAGCCAUCUUCUGGCCAAAUUGGCCCUGGUUCACAGGGCCAACAAAUUGUUCCUGGAGGUUCAGCGCCAAUCGGGCCUGGUGCACCUGUGAAUCAAAUGAGUCAAACUGGACCUGGUGGUCCACCUGGUGCUGGACAAGAAAAUUUGAAUGCUUUACAGAAAGCUAUUGAUUCAAUGGAAGAAAAGGGACUUCAAGAGGAUCCACGUUAUUCUCAGCUACUAGCUUUAAGGGCUCGUCAAGGCAACAUUGGAGAGAAACAAGCUUUUAGUUCACAACAAUUACAACAAUUGCGUGUACAGAUAAUGGCAUAUCGAUUAUUAGCAAGAAAUCAACCGUUAUCGCAACAACUUGCACUUGCAGUUCAAGGUGGAGCACCUCCUCCUCCAGGUAUGGGACAACGUACUCCUAUAGAUCCAUCUCAAGGACCUCCUACUACUACAGGUCCACAAAUCUCUGGACCAAAUGUAAUUGGUCCUGCGGUUCCUCCAAGACCAGGUUGCCAAACACCACAACAACAACAACCUCCUCAACCAGGUGCUAAAACUAACAGAGUGACAAGUGUGGCAAAACCAGCUGGUUUAGAUCCGCUACUGAUUUUGCAGGAACGUGAAAACAGGGUCCAAUGUGAAAACAAACUUCACUCUCAUACAUCGAGGAAAGCGACACAUGCAUUUCUUCAAUUAAAACGUUUUAUGGUUACAGUUGCAGCACGCAUAGCGUUACGAAUGGAACAAUUGAGCAAUUUACCAACUAACAUGCCAGAAGAUCUCCGUAUCCAGGCACAGAUUGAGUUACGGAUGCUUAGGGUACUGAAUUUCCAAAGACAACUACGAUCAGAGAUUUUAGCAUGUACUCGAAAAGAUACUACCUUAGAAACUGCAGUGAAUGUAAAAGCCUACAAGCGUACGAAAAGACAAGGACUUAGGGAAGCCAGAGCUACAGAGAAACUCGAAAAGCAACAAAAAUUGGAAGCUGAACGUAAACGAAGGCAAAAACAUCAAGAGUUUCUUAGUUCUGUACUUCAACAUGGUAAAGAUUUCAAAGAAUUCCAUCGAAAUAAUGUGGCCAAAUUGGCAAGACUCAACAAAGCUGUUCUAAAUUAUCAUGCAAAUGCUGAAAGAGAACAGAAGAAAGAACAGGAGCGUAUUGAGAAAGAACGUAUGAGACGUCUUAUGGCGGAAGACGAAGAAGGUUACAGAAAACUGAUUGACCAAAAGAAGGAUAAACGGUUAGCGUUUCUAUUGUCACAGACAGAUGAAUAUAUCAGUAAUCUUACUGAAAUGGUAAAACAACACAAGAUAGAACAAAAAAGGAAGCAAGUGGAAGAACAAAAGCGUAAAAAGAAAAAGAAGAAGUUGCAAGAUGGCGAAGGAGGCGAAGAUGGAAAUGCUAAUGAAGAUACUCGUGUUGGUGUGAUUGAAACAGCUACUGGUCGCACAUUAACUGGCGAAGAAGCACCGCUAAUGAGUCAACUUUCACAAUUCUUAGAAUCUCAUCCAGGAUGGGAACCAAUUGAAUCUGAAAGUGAAGAUGAUGAAGAUGAAGAGGAAGAAGAAAAUGAAGGUGAAGAAAAAGGGGAAAAUAAAGAAAAAUCUACUGGCGAUUCAGAAGAAGAGAAGGUUAAAAAGACUAUACAUAAAGCCAAAGUAGAGGAUGACGAAUACAAAACGGAAGAACAAACGUAUUACAGUAUUGCACACACUGUGCACGAGGUAGUAACAGAACAGGCAUCUAUCAUGGUCAAUGGAAAAUUGAAAGAAUAUCAAAUCAAGGGUUUGGAAUGGUUGGUGUCAUUAUUUAACAAUAAUCUCAAUGGUAUACUUGCGGAUGAAAUGGGUCUUGGCAAAACUAUUCAAACAAUAGCUUUGGUGACUUAUCUUAUGGAGAAAAAAAAAGUAAACGGGCCAUUUCUUAUAAUUGUCCCUUUAUCAACUUUGUCGAAUUGGGUAUUGGAAUUUGAGAAAUGGGCUCCUAGUGUUGUAGUUGUGUCGUAUAAAGGUUCACCAGCUGGCAGAAGAGCCAUUCAAUCUCAAAUGAGAGCCACUAAAUUUAAUGUUUUGCUUACUACUUAUGAAUAUGUUAUUAAAGAUAAGGGCGUUUUAGCAAAAUUGCAGUGGAAAUAUAUGAUUAUCGACGAAGGACAUAGAAUGAAAAAUCAUCACUGUAAACUAACUCAAGUAUUAAAUACACAUUAUCUGGCUCCUCAUCGGCUUCUACUGACAGGAACACCAUUGCAAAAUAAAUUGCCUGAAUUGUGGGCGUUAUUAAAUUUUUUACUUCCUUCAAUCUUUAAAUCUUGUAGUACUUUCGAACAAUGGUUCAAUGCUCCAUUCGCAACCACUGGUGAAAAGGUAGAAUUAAAUGAAGAAGAAACUAUUCUUAUUAUUCGCCGAUUACAUAAAGUAUUACGUCCUUUCUUACUGAGGCGUUUAAAGAAAGAAGUUGAAUCACAGUUACCUGAUAAAGUUGAAUACAUAAUCAAAUGCGAUAUGUCUGGACUGCAAAAGGUUCUUUAUAAACACAUGCAGAGUAAGGGUGUAUUGCUAACUGAUGGCUCGGAAAAAGGAAAACAGGGCAAAGGAGGCGCCAAAGCUCUAAUGAACACCAUUGUGCAAUUGAGAAAAUUAUGCAAUCAUCCAUUCAUGUUCCAAGCUAUUGAAGAAAAAUACUGCGAGCAUGUAGGUACGCAAGGAUCUGGUGUGAUUACUGGUCCCGACCUAUACCGUGCCUCUGGAAAAUUUGAAUUGCUGGAUCGUAUUCUUCCGAAAUUGAAAGCGACAAAUCACAGAGUACUAUUAUUUUGUCAAAUGACACAGUUAAUGACAAUUAUGGAAGAUUACUUAAGUUGGAGAGGAUUUAUGUAUUUGCGAUUAGAUGGCACUACGAAAGCUGAAGAUAGAGGAGACUUACUCAAGAAAUUCAACGAUCCUGGUUCCGAAUAUUUCUUAUUUUUGCUAUCGACACGUGCUGGUGGUCUUGGAUUAAAUUUGCAAGCUGCGGAUACCGUUAUUAUUUUCGAUUCUGAUUGGAAUCCGCAUCAGGACUUGCAAGCACAAGAUAGAGCACAUAGAAUUGGACAAAAGAAUGAAGUACGCGUACUCAGAUUAAUGACGGUUAAUUCGGUUGAAGAAAGAAUAUUGGCUGCAGCUAGAUACAAAUUGAACAUGGAUGAAAAGGUUAUACAAGCAGGAAUGUUCGAUCAAAAGUCGACUGGUUCUGAACGGCAACAAUUCUUACAAAGCAUUCUGCAUCAAGAUGAUGCUGAAGAUGAAGAAGAAAAUGAAGUACCGGACGAUGAAACGGUUAAUCAAAUGAUUGCACGAACGGAAGGUGAAUUUGAAAUAUUUCAAAAGUUAGAUUUAGAACGAAGAAGAGAAGAAGCGAAGCUGGGUCCAAACAGAAAGUCCCGACUAUUGGAGGAAGCUGAGUUGCCCGAUUGGUUAGUAAAAGAUGAUGACGAGGUUGAAAGGUGGACGUAUGAAGAAGAUGAGGAUAGAUUCCUUGGACGAGGUUCAAGGCAACGGAAGGAAGUCGAUUAUACUGACAGUUUGACUGAAAAAGAAUGGCUGAAAGCAAUCGAUGACGAUGGAGCUGAAUACGAAGAGGAAGAGGAAGACGAUAAGAAGAAGAAGAAGACACGAAAACGGAAGAAGAAAGGCGAGGAGGACGACGAGCCUAUGCCAAAGAAGCGAAGAGGAACAGGAUCUUCAAUUGACCCGAAAAUGAAACGAGCUAUGAAAAAGUUGCUUAUGGUAGUUGUUAAUUACACUGAUAGUACAGAUGGCAGGCUCCUUAGCGAACCAUUUAUGAAAUUACCAUCCAGAAGAGAAUUGCCGGAUUAUUAUGAAAUUAUUAAAAAACCAUUAACUAUCAAUAAAUUACUUCAAAAGAUUGAAGAAGGAAAGUAUGCCGAUUUUGACGAUCUUGAGAAAGACUUUAUGCAGCUGUGUAAAAAUGCACAAAUUUAUAACGAAGAAGCUUCUCUCAUACACGAAGAUUCCAUUGUUUUACAAUCUGUAUUUACGAAUGCGCGUCAACGUAUCGAAGAGGAAGGCAAUAAUUCCGACAUGGAUGACAAAGGUGAAGGCGAAGAAGGAUCGGAUGCAGAUUCCACUGUUAGAAUGAGAAUCAAGUUGAAAGGAAGGAAGGGCGAAGGUAGAGGUGGCCGGAGGAAAAGGGUCACUAAAAAGUAUAUAUCGGAUGACGAUGACGAUGGUGAUGAUAACUGAAGAUCAUAUGAAGACUGUAUGAAUUAUUAGAUUAUCUUAGGUAAUAAAUAAGAAAUUCUCUAUUGAAAAUUGCAUGUUGUCCGUAUUAAACUAAACUCUGAUAUGAAGUGGAUGAAUUAGGAUAUAUAUAAAAGGUGCGAGCGAUAUAGCGAGAUCGUAAAAUCAGUCAGUGGUUAAUGCUUACAACUUUCAGGAACUUGGUUCAGUGACACGUUCCCGCAUUCCCGGACCAUCUUUCUUGUUAUUUCCGAAUGGCAUUCGCUUUACAUCUUUUCUUGAUCUUUGCCCCUCUCCUUGUGGGAAGGUGAGUGUUUGCUUGUAGUCCUUUGCUGCAACUCUCUCCUCUUGUCUCUGGGUAAUUAGAAAGUCAAAGGGGAAAGCUCGGCUAUCGCACUUUAUUCAGGACAAUGAUAUAUGCUCCGGAGAUUCGGAACGCGUACAAUGCGUGGACUUUGUACACGUGUGUCGCGUGUGUUUGCCUCUUGACCGUCCAGGCUUACACCGACACGCCAUAUGCGUAGGAUGAAUCGUACUACGGCGGCCAGGAAUCGCCUGCACGGCUAUCUUAGUCUCUCUAUAUUUGGUAUGAGUCGGCUUAAUUUGUUCAUAAGCUCUAUUGCUCUUAUCAAUUUGCGCGACGAAAGUGGGAUUCUUGCUCAUGAUUGUACUCAAGUAUUUCAUAUACCUUUUCUCCUGCACGAGGAAGGCUUUGACGGUGGCAAACGGGUCCGUAAUCUUUCUUAUUUUGUGGGAAAGACUGGUUUUGUUUUGCCUUAGGCGAUGAUAAGGCCCAGUGCUUUAGCUUUACGUACGACUCCUGCAAUUGUAUUGUUGGCGUUUUGGAUUGUGGGACCGAUGCUUCUAUCCGAGCAGCGUGCCCUGCCAUGGUCCAUCCUAUCCGGAUCAGUUGACGACUACCUAACGCUUUUAUCGAAAGCUGUCUACUCUAACCUUUGACUGAUCGAUUUUAAAAUUUCACUAUAUCGUUUCCCUUUACUCUAAUUAUUAAGUUAUAUUUUAUUUGAAAUAAACAUGUAACCCUGUAUAAUGUACAGUAAGUAAUUUAACGUUAAGUAUUGAUACAUAAUUUUAUUUGAUUUUUAAAACAAACUAUAUAUUAGAUUCGAACACAUUGCCACCUUCGAUAAAUUUUAUAUUCAUAGAUAAACCAAUGUAAAUGUUAUAUAAUAUUUGGAAAUACAUCGAAAAACGAUAAUAAUUAAAACACGAUGUUGACCUAGGAAAGAAUCAUUUAGUAUUAUUUGGUACUCGUUGAUCUUAUUAUUGACUAAUAUUUUGAUCAAUAUAUGUAGACACAUAAUAACUUGAAAAAUGUUGCCAUUGAACAUUAAUCUUUCAAUACACGUCGAAGUAGGGUAGGAACACUUGUUAAUUAUUUUAUUUCUCUGUAUUUAAACCACUGUAGAUGGUAUAAAUUACUAUCUUUAAUAUAUACAUAUACAAAAAUCAAGUUUGCUUAUUAGACUGUAAUAUUUCGUUGGUAAUUGUCCCAUGAAUAACCGAAUGCUGUGGUAUUACGUUUUAUGAUAAAGCAAUUUAUUUCAUUUUUCAUUAUGCUACGACUUCAUCUUAUAUCAUAUGUAUGAAUGUGACUAAAUAAAUAUUGAAAAAC